rnacentral:rRNA from 1 species
AACCUUUACAAUGCACGAAAGUGUGAUAAGGGAAUCCUGAGUGCUCAUGCUUAUGGUAUGGGCUUUUGCCAUGAGUAAAUAUCAUGGCGAAUAAGUGGUGGGCAAGACAGGUGCCAGCCGCCGCGGUAACACCCGCGCCACGAGUGGGAAUCAUUCUUAUUGGGUCUAAAGCGUCCGUAGCCGGUUUAGUAAGUGCUCUGUGAAAUCGGCCUGCUUAACAGGUCGACGUGCAGGGUAGACUGCUAGACUUGGAACCGGGAGAGGUCAGAGGUAUUCCGGGGGGAGCGGUAAAAUGUUAUAAUCCCCGGAGGACCACCGAUGGCGAAGGCAUCUGACCAGAACGGGUUCGACGGUGAGGGACCAAAGCCAGGGGAGCGAUCCGG